rnacentral:rRNA from 1 species
CCGCAUAAAACCUAACACCGCAUGGUGUAGGGUUGAAAGAUGGUUUCGGCUAUCACUUUAGGAUGGACCCGCGGUGCAUUAGUUAGUUGGGUGAGGUAAAGGCUCACCAAGACCGUGAUGCAUAGCCGACCUGAGAGGUAAUCGGCCACACUGGGACUGAGACACGGCCCCAGACUCCUACGGGAGGCAGCAGUAGGGAAUCUUCCACAAUGGACGAAAGUCUGAUGGAGCAACGCCGCGUGAGUGAAGAAGGUUUUCGGAUCGUAAAACUCUGUUGUUGGAGAAGAAUGUAUCUGAUAGUAACUGAUCAGGUAGUGACGGUAUCCAACCAGAAAGCCACGGCUAACUACGUG